UACAGAGGUCUCAAGCGUUGUUCGGAAUUACUGGGCGUAAAGGGUGCGCAGGCCGCACGGGCAGUCAAAUGUGUAAUUCAGAGGCUCAACCUCUGGACUGCGCUUGAUACUUCCGUGCUCGAACCUUGGAGAGGAGUCUGGAAUUCUCGGUGUAGCAGUGAAAUGCGUGGAUAUCGAGAAGAACACUUAGGGCGAAGGCAAGACUCUAGAUAAGUGUUGACGCUCAUGCACGAAGGCUAGGGUAGCGAACGGG
rnacentral:rRNA from 1 species